rnacentral:rRNA from 1 species
CCUACGGGACGCAGCAGUAGGGAAUUUUCGGCAAUGGGCGAAAGCCUGACCGAGCAAUGCCGCGUGAGUGAAGAAGGCCUUCGGGUUGUAAAGCUCUGUUGUAAAGGAAGAACGGAUGGCAUAGGGAAUGAUGCCAUUGUGACGGUACUUUACGAGGAAGUCACGGCUAACUACGUGCCAGCAGCCGCGGUAAUACGUAGGUGGCGAGCGUUAUCCGGAAUUAUUGGGCGUAAAGGGUGCGCAGGCGGCAAGAAAAGCUUAAGGUGAAAGCGUGGGGCUCAACCCCAUAAAGCCUUAGGAACUAG